ACAAUUGUCUCAAAAACUAGGAUUAUGAUCAGAAUGACGAAUACAAUAGAUUUUAAAUGAGACAAACAAAAAGGGGGUUAGAGACCACUCAAUAAAUGAAAUGCCUAAGGGUUGUCCUUUGAGCUAUUUGAGAGUUAUCCAACUUGAGUUAUGAGUACGAAUGAUUUUAUAUUUUUGGGGAAAGAAGAACAAAAAAAAGGACUUAAAUUAAAUCAUAGUCUAAUGAAUUUGAUGAUUUUAUAGAUCUAUUUGCCAUUGGAAUUCUAUACAUCGACAUAACUUUGAAUCAUUUUUUCUCGAGCCGUACGAGGAUA
rnacentral:lncRNA from 1 species